rnacentral:rRNA from 1 species
UCUGACCUCAAAUCAGGUAGGAGUACCCGCUGAACUUAAGCAUAUCAAUAAGCGGAGGAAAAGAAACUAACAAGGAUUCCCUUAGUAACGGCGAGUGAAGAGGGAAAAGCUCAAAUUUGAAAUCUGGCGGCCUUCGGUCGUCCGAGUUGUAAUCUAGAGAAGUGUUUUCCGCGCUGGACCGUGUACAAGUCCUUUGGAACAAGGCGUCAUAGAGGGUGAGAAUCCCGUCUAGGACACGGACUACCAGUGCUUCUGUGAUACACUCUCAACGAGUCGAGUUGUUUGGGAAUGCAGCUCAAAAUGGGUGGUAAAUUCCAUCUAAGGCUAAAUACAGGCGAAAGACCGAUAGCGAACAAGUACCGUGAGGGAAAGAUGAAAAGCACUUUGGAAAGAGAGUUAAAAAGUACGUGAAAUUGUUGAAAGGGAAACGCUUGAAGUCAGUCGCGUCUUCAGAAACUCAGCCUGGCCCCUCGCGGGGUCUGGUGUACUUUUCUGUGGGACGGGCCAGCAUCAGUUUCGGCCGGCAGAAAAAGGGGAGAGGAAGGUGGCACCUCCGGGUGUGUUUAUAGCCUCUCGUCGCAUGUGCCGGCUGGGACUGAGGACCGCAGCACGCCCUGAAAGAAGGGCCGGGGUUCGCCCACGUAACGUGCUUAGGAUGCUGGCGUAAUGGCUUUAAGCGACCCGUCUUGAAACACGGACCAAGGAGUCUAACAUGCCUGCGAGUAUUUGGGUGGCAAACCCAUAUGCGGAAUGAAAGUGAACAGUUGGGACUUCUGUCAUGGAAGGCACCGACGCCCGGACCGGAGCUACUGCGAUGGAUCCGAGGUAGAGCAUGUAUGUUGGGACCCGAAAGAUGGUGAACUAUGCCUGAGUAGGGUGAAGCCAGAGGAAACUCUGGUGGAGGCUCGUAGCGAUUCUGACGUGCAAAUCGAUCGUCGAACUUGGGUAUAGGGGCGAAAGACUAAUCGAAC